rfam:Prochlorothrix hollandica PCC 9006 = CALT 1027 contig_8, whole genome shotgun sequence.
GCGGGUGUAGUUCAGUGGUAGAACGUCAGCUUCCCAUGCUGAAUGUCGUGGGUUCGAGUCCCAUCACCCGCU